CAAACAAAAGAAUAGACCUAUUACUGGGAAUGCUAUGACAUUCCAGGCCUAUUCCGUGAAUCAAACGGGCCAUUAAGGUAAUGCAUGAAGGG